rnacentral:lncRNA from 1 species
UGGGGUCCUCCAUUAUCCUCUGGGCUUUGCUGAGGCAGUGCUGGCUGUAGAGGUCCUCCAGACUGGGCACCUCACACCCAGUGAUGUUACUGGCAGUUUGGACCACCCUCCCUAGUGCCUUACAGUUUCUGUCCGUACAGCUGCCAUACCAGGCUGUGAAGCUGAAGGUCAGGAGGCUCUCUAUGGUGCCUCUGUUGAAGUCCCUGAUGGUGUUGGGUCUAAGGCCUAACUGUUUUAGGCGCCUGAGUCUGUAUAGGCGCUGUUGGGCCUUUAUUACCACUGCUGUGGUGUGGCAAUCCCAUGAGAGGUCUGCAGAGAUGUUGACUCCCAGAUAUUUGAAUGUGUCCACCCUCUCCACCGCUGUACCAUUGAUGGUAAUCGGCUGCAGCUCGUCCUCCUUCUUCCUCCUGGGGUCGACCACGAUCUCCUUGGUCUUGUUGGCGUUCAGGGAGAGGUUGUCACUUGUGCAUCGCUGCACCAUGUUGGCCUGCUCCUCCCUGUAGGCUGACUCAUGGCCGCCGGAGACCAGGCCCACCACUACUGUGUCAUCAGCAAACGUCACGACGUGGUUUGAUGGUUGUGUCACCACGCAGUCGUAGGUGUACAACGAGUACAGGAGAGGGCUGAGGACACAGCCCUGUGGCGCUCCUAUGCUGACACACAGAAUGGAUGAUGUCUGGUCAGCCACUCUCACUGGCCCUCAUUUAUCAAUCUUGCGCAGAUCUGAGCGCAGGAUUCAUCGUACGAUAGGACACACAUGAGAUUUAUGAGAGGGUUCAUAUCUGACCAAUCCCAGUGUACGUAUGAUCGGGUCUUGAUAAAUGCUGCAGCUGAAAUUGAUCGUCAUUAACAUGUUUAUGCCCUUAAAUAUUCGUGGUUCAGAAGCCUUGCCCACUGAGGUCAAACAUGAAAGAGGAGAAAUACUAGAAAGAUGUGAAACUUUUCCAAGCUGAAAGUGGAUAUCCUCACAUCUGUGGUGGAAACUAACAAGGAUUUUCUCUUUGGAAAUAUCAAAACUGGUAUAAAAGCAGUCCAGAAAACUCUUGCCUAGAGCAGGAUUAUGGUGGCGGUGAACAGCGCUGCUGCGGAAUGGCGGACAGUGGCUGAAGUUUGAAUAAAUCAUUAGUCAGUAAGUUGCUCAUGAUGAUAAAACAAUAUCUCAUACAUACCUCAUAUUUGUUUAUUGCCAUGACAUAGGGUACGUUGCUCCUAUUGUUGAAAGUAUUUAGUUUCAAUUUGUUGCAUCUUCGUAAUGUAGAGCAGACUGGAGAGUCUGACAGAGGCUGAACAAAAUCAAUUAUUAACCUCACCAAACGGUGUGUUGCUGCCCCUGAGGCAAAUUUUUAUGGAUUUCUAUAUGAUUUUUAUCACUGAAUAAAUAGCGAGAGCACUUUCUUAACUUUACAUGUCAGAAUCCAUCGAUAAGGUCCUGUCUCCUAUACAGCACCUUUGUGGAGUCUCUCCUCGUUAUUGUUCUCCGGGCAUCGGGUCCUCAGGAUGCACCAGCACAGCCAAUGGCACUCCGUUCGCCAGUGCAACAUUGUGCAAAACUGUACUGGCCCAAAUAAUGUCCCACACCCUUUCAGUGUACAACAACGUCCCCGCUGCUGGGCCAAGACAGAGCUACCUGCCUUUUAGGAGUCAAACGCAGCGUGUGCGUGUGUGCGUAAUGUUGAAACUGUGCUCCUGCUCUGUGGCAGUGUUUUUGGACAGAGUUAUCAAAUAGGCCUUUUCACUGAGGACAUAACAAAUUUAUUUUAUUUUAUUUUUCUUCUUAAUCUUAAUGAAAUCUGGCUGAUUGUGCUUAAUGACAGGUUUUAGGUUUGUAUAUCAAUUAUUUUGAGACAGAUAUUUGCUGCACCGCAGAUCCACACCGACUCAAACUUGCGUACACAAUGUCAGACCUGUUGUGAGAUAUGGUCAUAGUGUACGCUCACGUGCAGAUUGAUAAAUGCCGAUCCUCACAUCAAAAUUGUCAUACGCAAGGUGUAGGCAAGUUUUCUGCCGUACACUAGCUUGAUAAAUGAGGGCUACUGUCUGGGGGCAGUUCUUCAGGAAGCUUAGGAUCCAUCUGUGCAGGGACGGCCUCAUGCCUAGGUCUCGGAGCUUGCCAUCGAGCCUGGACAGUAAGAUGGUAUUAAAAGCGGAGCUGUAGUCCACAAACAGCAUCCUGACAUAGGUACCGCUGCAUUUCAGGUGGGAAAGGGCCGUGUGAAGGACAUGGGUGAUGGCAUCCUCUAUGCUCCUGUUUGCUCGGUAGGUAAACUGUAUGGGGUCGAGGGUGGGAGGGCGCAUGGGGCAUAUGAGACCUUUGACCAGGCUCUCAAAACACUUGCUGGCUAUGGGAGUGAGGGCUAUGGGGUGCCAGUCUUUUAGGCUGGUCACCCUCUGCUGCUUGGGAAUAGGGAUGAUGGUGCUGGUUUUGAAACCGUUGGGGACAGAGCUGAGGGAGAGAGACUGGUUGAAAAUGUCAGUGAAUACUCCCACCAGCUGGUAAGCACAAGCCUUUAAGACCCGUCCAGGAAUGCCAUCUGGGCCAGCCGCUUUCCUGGUGUUGAUCCGCUUGAAGGAGUGGUAGACCUCGCCCCUUUGGAUGGUGAGCAGGCGGUCAUCAUCAGCACCAGAGAUGGAGAGUGGGCUUGGGGAUAUUCCAGGAGUGGGGGUCAGCUGCUCCCCCCUCCCUAUGUCAAUAGGGAGGGGGUAGCAGAGGUGAGCGCUCGCCGGUGGAGGGGGAGGGACCAGCCAUGCCAGGGGGUCUAGCAGAGGGGGUCAAAUCGGGCAGAGAAGGAGUUGAAGUCAUCUGGAAAGGAGUGUGAUGUGUGUUGGGUUUGCUGUGUGCUCCCCUUGUAGUCUGUUAUGGCUUGAAGCCCCUGCCAAAGGUGCCUCGGGUUGUUUGUGUUGAGUCUUGACUCCAUGCGUUGACCGUAGUCUUUCUUUGCCUUUUUGUUGGCCACGCUGAGUGCAUAGCGGGCUUUGUUAUAGUCCUCCGCUGUGCCUGAUUUAUAGGCUACAUUUCGUGUGUGGACAGCAGCAUGCACUUUGUUGUUGAUCCAUGGCUUCUGGUUUGGCAUCACCUUUAUAUUCCUGACUGGAACAGCAGCCUCUGUGCACUCCCUGAUGUAGGUUGUUAAAUUGUUGGUGUAGUUGUCUAGAUUCCCAGUCGACUUGAACGCCUCCUAGUCCGUGCAGGCAAACCAGUCCUGUAAGAUUGCCUCUGAUUAGGAGGAUUGAGCAGUGGCCUGAUUUGCCAAAAGCUGGGUGGGGGAGGGCUCUAUAACUUUCCCGGAAGAGGGUGUAACAGUGGUCCAGUGUGUUAUUUCCUUGCGUCUUAAAAGUGAUAUGUUGGUGUAAUUGAGGCAUUAGUUUGGUGUGGUUCACGUGGUUAAAAUCCCUGGCUAUGACCAGCGCCGUGUACGGCUGUGCCGUUUCUUGCUUGCUGAUCAAUCUGUGGAGUUCCUUGAGCGCUGCCUCCUUGUUUGUCUGCGGUGGAUUGUAAACAGCGGCUAUCGUGACAGAUGUAAAUUCACAGGGGAGCCAUACAGGAAGACACUGCAGCAGGAGACACUCCAGAUUUGGGGAACACACUGUGUUAACAGUUGAGAUGUUACGCUCAUGACACCAGGCCCGGUUCACCAUGAGACACACACCUCCACCCGCUUUCUUCCUUGAGAGCUCCAUGUCCCGAUCCGUGCGAUGGACAGAAAAGCCCAUGGGCGCGAUGGCAUGGCUCGGUGUGUCGGUGGAGAGCCAUGUCUCAAUGAGACACAGCACAUUGCAUCUCCUGAUGUCUGGCUGGAAGAAGACCCGCGCCCGUAGCUCACAAAGUUUGUUCUCCAGGGACUGUACGUUCGCCAGCAACAGGCUGGGGAGUGAGGCUCUGUGAGCACACCGCCUUAGCCAGUCCAGUGUCCCGGCUCGUCUGCCUCUCCUUCUCAGUUGGGUCCUCGUCCUCCUCAGUUCGGGGAACAGGGAGAGGGGAUCUGGGCACAAUCGGUGAGUCUGACAUGCCGCUCUGAUGUUAAGAGACGUUUGUUUGCUGUAGGCAAUCCGUAUGGCGCAAGGUGUGCAACCAGUUUUAGUGCCGUUAGUGCUGUUUGUAGGUGCUAUCCUACUGCACCCUACUGCCAAUCUGGAUACAAAAUUCACUCCUAACACUAGUAACUAAAAAAACUAGUAACGAAACCAACUAAAAACUAAGCUAAACUGUUAUAACUGUCUGCUACUUAAACCUCAGAGCACAGACUGACAGCACAGUUUUGCUAGCUAGCUAGUUUGCGGAGCUCCAGCACGUCGCCCUCCUCACGGCGCUGCUACGUAAGUGAGACUGGUCCUUGGAGAAGAUGGAGCAGGUACUGAAGGCCCGGGGCUACCGGCUGUUCGAGAGGUUUGGCUUGGAAGACGACCGAAGUCAGCCGAAGGAGAUGGGCCAGGAGUUGCAGUACUUGGGCCCGAAGCAAAAGCCAGCGCUGUGGGUCCUUUGGAUGCUCGUUUGUCUUAAUCAAAAACGUAGGCUCACAUGAUGACUUUGGGCCUGCUGGGUGGCAUUCAGAGGUGACUUUGAAAUCACGCAGAUGACCCAGAAAAAGAGGCUCGAUGGCCAGUCGAAACUAUUUCAAAAAUGGCUUCCCGAAAUUAAAGAAAAAUCAAUUAAAGGCUUAAUCUUAAAUUGCUAUGCGCACAAAAAUUUGAAGUUUCAAAAUUUGAACUAAGACAGUGUUAAAGAAAAAGCAACGUGAAUGAACACGUGGCGUAAAACUUAGAAGACUAAGAAAAAGUAAGACUAAGGGCUAUAUUUUCGUGCCUCGCCGGAGACAUGCCCCAGGCACGGCGUAAGUCAGGUCUGCCGCGCCGACAAGGCAUUCCCAAGCACAAUUUGGUAUUUUGGUGAGCGGGGCAGCCCAGCGUAAGUAUCCCCCCUCCCUAACUCAGCUCCUCCUAGCGGCGUAAGUCGUAGCGAGGGAGGAGAGAGGGUGUGGCGUGGAUUUAACACAGCCAAGACCUGUAUUGACCAAUAACAUCAGCUCCUCUCCUCGCCUUUAAAUCCACCACCGGCGAGGCGUAUUACUAUUUUCGUGAAGUAGUCAAAGAGAUCAAGAGAUGUCUGAAGACAGUAAUGCCACACAUAGGGGACAGAAGGCAGCUCCUCAACAAGUGUCACUGCAGAGGGCGUCCUUCACACUCUCUCAUAUAAGCACAGAUGGAUUUGGUGUGUGUGAUGUUGGACCCACUAGUAAGACAAACACCCUUUCCACAAAUAAAGACACUCACAUAAAGUUGCACAUAUUUAAACCUCACAUGACAAAGGUGGGUUGUGCGCAGAGAUCACAAUAUAAAUUCCAAAAAUGGCUUUAAAAUCGGAACCAUCUGUGCGUAAUGACGCAUCGCGCUCUGUGGCCUGGCUCUUUCUUUCAUCGAUGUUGGCAUAUAAAAUAAAUUUGGCUCACAAAACUGAAUAUUAAACUAUUCGUAUGUAGGCUUAAAGUAAAUAACUCAUCUGAUCACUGAAACAAAUCAUCUGUUCAGCCGCCGCAGCAGCAGUUGCAGCAGGACGGGGAGAGGACACAGACACAUGUCUAGGUCAAGAUGUGCGAGAAAUAACAGGAAGAGGAAGAAAGAAAAGGAGGGAGACGAAUUACAUAUCUUGUUAACUUCAUCAUGUGUGUCUAUUUACUAGAUAUUUAAUUAAAUUAAAUUUAAUGCGGUUUCAGCUGUGUUGAUUCGGUCAGGUUGUGUGUCCAAACG